AUACGGAGGAUGCAAGCGUUAUCCGGAUUUAUUGGGUUUAAAGGGUGCGUAGGCGGUUUGCUAAGCGGGAGGUGAAAUGCCGGCGCUCAACGUCGGAAAUGCCUCCCGAACUGGUGGACUUGAAUGACUCUGCCGUGGGAGGAAUGUGUAGUGUAGCGGUGAAAUGCUUAGAGAUUACACAGAACACCGAUUGCGAAGGCAUCUCACGAAGGGUUGAUUGACGCUGAGGCACGAAAGCGUGGGGAUCAAACAGGAUUAGAUACCCUGGUAGUCCACGCAGUAAACGAUGAUGGCUAACCGCUGGGCUUAUCAGUUCAGUGGCCAAGCGAAAGCGAUAAGCCAUCCACCUGGGGAGUACGACCGCAGGGUUGAAACUCAAAUGAAUUGACGGGG
rnacentral:rRNA from 1 species